UUGUGGCUGAUUUCGUGGGGAGCAAGGGGGGAGGAGAUUUCCGCGAAAACUUGACCAAUCUUCGUGCAGUUCGUCCCUACUUCUAGGUAUCGAGGUUCGCAAUUUCCAUGCCCAACUUCUACUCACGAAGGCGAUGGAGAUCCUUCCGCCGAUGCAUAGCUACUCGAGUUGGAGAUCGAGUUGUAAGCGGUGGAGUAGAGGUAUGAGAAGCAGCUUUGCUUCUCUUCUUGUGGAUUAUGUUGGAGUCUCUUUCACUUUAUGAGAACUCUGUUAUUAAAGUCUUGCUUCCGCCACUGUUAAAGUGCGCAUGUUUAUUCUGAACCUUACUUAUGGUAUUGUAAACUAUUAUUACUGUAUAUCGGGAAACAAGUUAUCUAAAUAAAGUUAUGGUAUGUUUCCAAC